rnacentral:rRNA from 1 species
AACGAACGCUGGCGGCAGGCUUAACACAUGCAAGUCGAGCGCCCCGCAAGGGGAGCGGCAGACGGGUGAGUAACGCGUGGGAAUCUACCCAUCUCUACGGAAUAACGCAUGGAAACGUGUGCUAAUACCGUAUACGUCCUUCGGGGGAAAGAUUUAUCGGAGAUGGAUGAGCCCGCGUUGGAUUGGCUAGUUGGUGGGGUAAAGGCAUACCAAGGCGACGAUCCAUAGCUGGUCUGAGAGGAUGAUCAGCCACACUGGGACUGGGACACGGCCCAGACGCCGACGGGAGGCAGCAGUGCGGAAUAUUGGACAAUGGGCGCAAGCCUGAUCCAGCCAUGCCGCGUGAGUGAGGAAGGCCCUAGGGUUGUAAAGCUCUUUCACCGGUGAAGAUAAUGACGGUAACCGGAGAAGAAGCCCCGGCUAACUUCGUGCCAGCCGCCGCAGUAAAAC